rnacentral:rRNA from 1 species
AGUCAAGUAAUUAAGUGCAUGUGGUGGAUGCCUUGGCAGUCAGAGGCGAUGAAAGACGUGAUAGCCUGCGAAAAGCUCCGGGGAGGCGGCAAAUAUCCUUUGAUCCGGAGAUGUCUGAAUGGGGGAACCCACCUACUUUAAGGUAGGUAUUGCAACAUGAAUACAUAGUGUUGCAAGGCGAACGAGGGGAAGUGAAACAUCUCAGUACCCUUAGGAAAAGAAAUCAAUUGAGAUUCCCUCAGUAGCGGCGAGCGAACGGGGAUCAGCCCAUUAAGUUAUGUGUGUUUUAGUGGAACGCUCUGGGAAGUGCGAACGUAGAGGGUGAUAUUCCCGUACACGAAAGGGCACACAUAAUGAUGACGAGUAGGGCGAGGCACGUGAAACCUUGUCUGAAUAUGGGGGGACCAUCCUCCAAGGCUAAAUACUCCUGACUGACCGAUAGUGAACCAGUACCGUGAGGGAAAGGCGAAAAGAACCCCUGUGAGGGGAGUGAAAUAGAUCCUGAAACCGCAUGCAUACAAGCAGUGGGAGCACCUUCGUGGUGUGACUGCGUACCUUUUGUAUAAUGGGUCAGCGACUUAUAUUCAGUAGCGAGGUUAACCGUAUAGGGGAGCCGUAGAGAAAUCGAGUCUUAAUAGGGCGUUUAGUUGCUGGGUAUAGACCCGAAACCAGGCGAUCUAUCCAUGAGCAGGUUGAAGGUUGGGUAACACUAACUGGAGGACCGAACCCACUGUCGUUGAAAAGCCAGGGGAUGACUUGUGGAUAGGGGUGAAAGGCUAAUCAAGCCUGGUGAUAGCUGGUUCUCCCCGAAAGCUAUUUAGGUAGCGCCUCGGACGAAUACCAUAGGGGGUAGAGCACUGUUUCGGCUAGGGGGUCAUCCCGACUUACCAAACCGAUGCAAACUCCGAAUACCUAUGAGUACUAUCCGGGAGACAGACUGCGGGUGCUAACGUCCGUAGUCAAGAGGAAAACAAUCCAGACCGCCAGCUAAGGCCCCAAAAUCAUAGUUAAGUGGGAAACGAUGUGGGAAGGCAUAGACAGCUAGGAGGUUGGCUUAGAAGCAGCCACCCUUUAAAGAAAGCGUAAUAGCUCACUAGUCGAGUCGGCCUGCGCGGAAGAUGUAACGGGGCUAAAACUAUGUGCCGAAGCUGCGGAUGUAUACUUUGUAUACGUGGUAGGGGAGCGUUCUGUAAGCCGAUGAAGGUGUGUUGAGAAGCAUGCUGGAGGUAUCAGAAGUGCGAAUGCUGACGUGAGUAACGACAAAACGGGUGAAAAACCCGUUCGCCGAAAGACCAAGGGUUCCAGUCCAACGUUAAUCGGGGCUGGGUGAGUCGACCCCUAAGGCGAGGCCGAAAGGCGUAGUCGAUGGGAAAAUGGUUAAUAUUCCAUUACUUCUGUGUAAUGCGAUGAGAGGACGGAGAAGGCUAAAUCAGCCUGGCGUUGGUUGUCCAGGUGAAAGGA